ACGAAGUUAGCCGGGCUUCUUCUACGGGUACCGUCAUCAUCUUCCCCGUCGAAAGUGCUUUACAACCCGAAGGCCUUCUUCACACACGCGGCAUGGCUGCGUCAGAGUUUCCUCCAUUGCGCAAUAUUCCCCA
rnacentral:rRNA from 1 species